GUUCUCACUAUUGAAGCACAUAUGCUAAAAUGUGAAUGAUACAGAGAAGGUUAGCAUGGCCUCUGCUCAAGGAUAACACACAAAUUAGUGAAGCAUUCAAUAUUUUU
rnacentral:snRNA from 1 species